rnacentral:rRNA from 1 species
UACGUAGGGUGCAAGCGUUAUCCGGAAUUAUUGGGCGUAAAGAGCUCGUAGGCGGUUUGUCGCGUCUGCUGUGAAAACCCGAGGCUCAACCUCGGGCCUGCAGUGGGUACGGGCAGACUAGAGUGCGGUAGGGGAGAUUGGAAUUCCUGGUGUAGCGGUGGAAUGCGCAGAUAUCGAGGAGGAACACCGAUGGCGAAGGCAGAUCUCUGGGCCGUAACUGACGCUGAGGAGCGAAAGCAUGGGGAGCGAACAGG